AGAAUCGAAACUGAGAGCUCCUGGGCAGGCUCGGCAGGGCAGGCAGCUCCAGGAGGGCUUCGAACCGUGGCCAACAGUUCCAGUGGACUGCGUGGACCCGUGAGCUCAGGAGCCUCAGACGCCUCCCUGGAGAGCCAAGCUGGUGUUCGAGGUGGCGCCUCCAGGGUCCACCCUGCUGCCCAACAGCCCCGCGGCCACCAGAGGGCCGUCCCUGGCCCGGCUGUGUGCCCUGGUGGACCUGUGUCUGGGCUGCUCCCGCUGCACCCAGCGGCUCAAUGAAAGCACCUACGUCCUCCGUAGGGUGGAGCAUGACUGCUCCCGCGAGAUCCUGCUGGCCCGCUUUAAGCAGGCCACCAAGAGCAAGGUCUGGCGCGUGGUGGGCUGCCGGCCCACCUUCCCAAGGCCCCUGUGCUACCAAGUCUGCCACUACUACAGCCCUGGGCUCGGCUGCCGGCGCCACCGAAACCGGUGCACCUUUGCCCGCAGUCGCGAGGAGGCCCUGGUCUGGACCUUCGAGCGUCAGCACAACCUCCAGCGCCUAUGGCUGAAGGCGGAGGUGCAGGGCAGCGGGGCCCAGGGAGGGGCAGGCCGGGCGGCCGACGCCAUCCUUACGGAGUUUGGCGGCCGCUUCGAGCUGCUUUGCUCCCUCUGCUUCAGGCGCUGUCCCCCAUGCAUCUGUCGCGUGGACCCCCAGGGGCAGUGCCCUGAGCACGGAGCCUGCCCCUCCCUCCUGGCCCACGUGAGCGCCGAGGGCCGCCGCAAGCAACAGUUUGUGGUGGUGAGGCCGCGGCCCCGGGCCGGCCAGCCUCCUGCCUACUGCAGGUUUGUGGGGCGUGGGCAGCCGUGCUGGCGUGGGGAGUCCCGCUGCCAGUUUGCACACAGCGCCGUGGAGAUGGCUGUGUGGGAGGCCGAGCAGCUGGGUGGCCUCCAGCGGGGGGACCUGCUCACACCCCCUGCCCCUGAUGGCGACGGGCGCACGGCCCCCCUUGGCCAGCCCCCUGGGGCCCAGCUGUACUGCCCGGCCUGCUUGGUCACCUGCCACUCUCAGGAGGCCUUCGAGAACCACUGCGCAUCCUCGGAGCACGCACAGAUGGUGGCCUUCGACCAGGCCCUGCCCUGGGAGCACCGUUCCCCACCCCCGGGACUCUCCAAGUUCGAGCUCUGCCCAAAGUAAGGAUACUCGAGGCAGGAGCUUGGAGUAGGGCAGGAGCCCACCAUAGGCAGAACCAGAGGUUCCCAGGAGCUUGGAGUGGGGCAGGAGCCCACCACAGGCAGAGCCAGAGGCUCCCAGGAGCUUGGAGUAGGGCAGGAGCCCACCGUAGGCAGAGCCAGAGGCUCCCAGGAGCUUGGAGUAGCGCAGGAGCCCACCACAGGCAGAGCCAGAGGCUCCCAGGAGCUUGGAGCAGGGCAGGAGCCCACCGUAGGCAGAGCCAGAGGUUCCCAGGAGCUUGGAGUGGGGCAGGAGCCCACCGUAGGCAGAGCCAGAGGCUCCCAGGAGCUUGGAGCGGGGCAGGAGCCCACCACAGGCAGAGCCAGAGGCUCCCAGGAGCUUGGAGCGGGGCAGGAGCCCACCGUAGGCAGAGCCAGAGGUUCCCAGGAGCUUGGAGCGGGGCAGGAGCCCACUGUAGGCAGAGCCAGAGACUCCCAGGAGCUUGGAGCGGGGCAGGAGCCCACCACAGGCAGAGCCAGAGGCUCCCAGGAGCUUGGAGCAGGGCAGGAGCCCACCGUAGGCAGAGCCAGAGGUUCCCAGGAGCUUGGAGCAGGGCAGGAGCCCACCACAGGCAGAGCCAGAGGCUCCCAGGAGCUUGGAGCAGGGCAGGAGCCCACCGUAGGCAGAGCCAGAGGUUCCCAGGAGCUUGGAGCGGGGCAGGAGCCCACCGUAGGCAGAGCCAGAGGUUCCCAGGAGCUUGGAGCGGGGCAGGAGCCCACCACAGGCAGAGCCAGAGGCUCCCAGGAGCUUGGAGCGGGGCAGGAGCCCACCACAGGCAGAGCCAGAGGUUCCCAGGAGCUUGGAGCGGGGCAGGAGCCCACCACAGGCAGAGCCAGAGGCUCCCAGGAGCUUGGAGCGGGGCAGGAGCCCACCGUAGGCAGAGCCAGAGGUUCCCAGGAGCUUGGAGCGGGGCAGGAGCCCACCGUAGGCAGAGCCAGAGGCUCCCAGGUUCAGUGGACGGGGGCCUCCCUGCCACCUGCUGAGGGCUAAAGCCAUGUGGCCUCUGAGGACCCGGAUAAGGGAGGUUCAUGUUUGGGAACUGCUUGAGCCAGGCCUUGUCCCGGGAGCACAGGAGUGGGUGGGACGAAUAAAGCCCCUGCUCCCUACAGAGGCCAGUAUUGGGCUGAGGGGUCCCGGCCUUUGAACUCAGCACGGCGGCUGUGCCUCUGUGUAGCCCUGCUGACCUCCCUGUCCCCCAGGCCUGACCUCUGUGAGUAUGGGGACGCCUGCACCAAGGCACACUCAGCACAGGAGCUGCAGGAGUGGGUCCGGCGCACGCAGGCUGUGGAGCUGCGGGGGCAGGCGGCCUGGCAGGACGGGCUGGUGCCCUACCAGGAGCGGCUGCUGGCCGAGUACCAGCGCAGCAGCAGUGAGGUCCUUGUGCUGGCAGAGACCCUUGAUGGAGUGCGUGUCACCUGCAACCAGCCCCUGAUGUACCAGGCCCAGGAGAGGAAGACCCAGUACAGCUGGACGUUUGCCGUCCACUCUGAGGUGAGCGGAGAACAGCUCCGACUGGGCGGAGGGAGCCCUGGGGAAGUGGUGACUUCAGCCCGGGCAGACGUCAACAGCCUGGGUCAUGGAGCUAAUACCGAGGCACUGCCGCUCAGCACCUGCGUGACCUGCAGCAGGUCCCUUAGCCUCUCUGCCUCAGUCUCCUCACCUAGAGACAGGGGGCCAGGACAGUCCCACCUUGGCAGGGUUAUUCUAUGGAGUAUAUGGGUUAAAACAAGGAUUUGGCCAGGUGCGGUGGUUCACGCCUGUAAUCCCAGCACUUUGGGAGACCGAGGCAGGUGGAUCACCUGAGGUCGGGAGUUCGAGAUCAGCCUGGCCAAUAGGGUGAAACUCCGUCUCUACUGAAAAAAAAAAAAA
rnacentral:lncRNA from 10 species